rnacentral:rRNA from 1 species
UACGAACUGCGCGAACGUUAUUCGGAAUCACUGGGCUUACAGGGUGCGUAGGCGGCUUUUCAGGUCCGAUGUGAAAUCCCACAGCUCAACUGUGGAAUGGCGUUGGAAACCGAAAGGCUUGAGUGAGCUAGAGAUGUACGGAACUUCCGGUGGAGCGGUGAAAUGUGUUGAGAUCGGAAGGAACACCAGAGGCGAAAGCGGUACAUUGGGGCUUGUCUGACGCUGAGGCACGAAAGCCAGGGGAGCGAACGGG